AUGAAGCAGGUUCUGCUCAGUAUGAGGUCCAGAGAGUCCCAGUCCCUCCUGGAUCCUGAUGGGGUUGGGACCGGGCUGGCCUUCAGCAGACCCAAACACCUCAGCAGAACCACAGAGGAGGAUGAGCAGAACCCUCACAGACACAGACCCAAACACCUCAGCAGAACCACAGAGGAGGAUGAGCAGAACCCUCACAGACACAGACCCAAACCCACCGUGUUCACCAAUAAAGAAGCUCCUGAAUGGUACAGGAAAGUCAAGUUCCAGCCUGAAUGACCAAUGAGUGGCCUUACAGGUGGUGCAGAUGGGAUUUGUGUAGACACUCCAAACUGGUUUUAUUUACACUACUGUAUUGGUAAUAGUAUAUCUGUGUGUCUUGUACUGUACUGUUGUAAUCGGUUGACUUGCUAAAACUUUUUAAUAUAAAAAUCUGUCAAAAACUACACUCUACUCGUCUUCAGAUUUCUGUUUUGCUUGGCAUUGGCCCUAGCCCUGACCUUAACCCUAGCCCUGACCCUAUCCCUGGCCUUAACCCUGACCCUAGCGGUGACCCUAUCCCUGACCCUAGCCCUGACCCUAGCCCUGACCCUAUCCCUGACCCUAUCCCUGACCCUAUCCCUGACCCUAUCUCUGACCCUAUCUCUGACCCUAUCUCUGACCCUAUCCCUGACCCUAUCCCUGACCCUAGCAGUGACCCUAUCGCUGACACUAGCGGUGACCCUAUCCCUGACCCUAUCGGUGACCCUAUCCCUGACCCUAUCGGUGACCCUAUCCCUGACCCUAUCGGUGACCCUAGCCCUGACCCUAUCCCUGACCCUAUCGGUGACCCUAGCCCUGACCCUAGUAGAACUGAUUAUUCUGAAACCACACCAACCUGUAUCCUUUAGUUUAACUGUUAGUCGUCUAGUAGAGGGGACAGCAGCUCAGGCAGCACCUCCUCCUCCUCCUCCUCCUCCAUCAACACUGUAGUUUAACUGUUAGUCGUCUAGUAGAGGAGACAGCAGCUCAGACAGCACCUCCUCCUCCUCCCCCUCCCCCCGCCCUCCUACACUGUAGUUUAACUGUUAGUCGUCUAGUAGAGGGGACAGCACCUCCUCCUCCUCCUGAAUCAACACUGUAGUUUAACUGUUAGUCGUCUAGUAGAGGAGACAGCAGCUCAGGCAGCACCUCCUCCUCCUCCUCCUCCACCUCCUCCUCCUCCUGAAUCAACACUGUAGUUUAACUGUUAGUCGUCUAGUAGAGGAGACAGCAGCUCAGGCAGCACCUCCACCUCCUCCUCCUGAAUCAACACUUGUAGUUUAACUGUUAGUCGUCUAGUAGAGGAGACAGCAGCUCAGACAGCACCUCCUCCUCCUCAAUCAACACUGUAGUUUAACUGUUAGCCUUCUAGUAGAGGAGACAGCAGCUCAGGCAGCACCUCCUCCUCCUCCUCCUCCUGAAUCAACACUAGUUUAACUGUUAGUCGUCUAGUACAGGAGCAGCACCUCCUCCUCCUCCUCCUCCUCCUCCUGAAUCAACACUGUAGUUUAACUGUUAGUCGUCUAGUAGAGGAGACAGCAGCUCAGGCAGCACCGCCUCCUCCUGAAUCAACACUAGUUUAACUGUUAGUCGUCUAGUAGAGGAGACAGCAGCUCAGGCAGCACCUCCUCCUCCUCCUCCUCCUGAAUCAACACUGUAGUUUAACUGUUAGUCGUCUAGUAGAGGAGACAGCAGCUCAGGCAGCACCUCCUCCUCCUCCUCCUCCUCCUGAAUCAACACUGUAGUUUAACUGUUAGUCGUCUAGUAGAGGGGACAGCACCUCCUCCUCCUCCUGAAUCAACACUGUAGUUUAACUGUUAGUCGUCUAGUAGAGGAGACAGCAGCUCAGGCAGCACCUCCUCCUCCUCCUCCUCCACCUCCUCCUCCUCCUGAAUCAACACUGUAGUUUAACUGUUAGUCGUCUAGUAGAGGAGACAGCAGCUCAGGCACCUCCACCUCCUCCUCCUGAAUCAACACUGUAUUUUAACUGUUAGUCGUCUAGUAGAGGAGACAGCAGCUCAGACAGCACCUCCUCCUCCUGAAUCAACACUGUAGUUUAACUGUUAGUCGUCUAGUAGAGGAGACAGCAGCUCAGACAGCACCUCCUCCUCCUGAAUCAACACUAGUUUAACUGUUAGUCGUCUAGUAGAGGAGACAGCCGCUCAGGCACCUCCUCCUCCUCCUCCUGAAUCAACACUGUAGUUUAACUGUGAGUCGUCUAGUAGAGGAGACAGCAGCUCAGACAGCACCUCCUCCUCCUGAAUCAACACUGUAGUUUAACUGUUAGUCUUCUAGUAGAGGAGACAGCAGCUCAGGCAGCACCUCCUCCUCCUCCUCCUCCUCCUCCUGAAUCAACACUGUAGUUUAACUGUUAGUCGUCUAGUAGAGGAGACAGCAGCUCAGGCAGACCUCCUCCUCCUGCAUCAACACUGUAGUUUAACUGUUAGUNNNNNNNNNNNNNNNNNNNNNNNNNNNNNNNNNNNNNNNNNNNNNNNNNNNNNNNNNNNNNNNNNNNNNNNNNNNNNNNNNNNNNNNNNNNNNNNNNNNNGCAAUAAUUAAUCUCUUUUCACAGCUUCUUUGCUUUAUUCUGACACACCAAAGACAUGCAAGUAUUCAUGAUUUAAAAUAGCUUUUAAUUUCACCACUUUUUUUCAGGAGGAAUUAAGCGUUAUUUCAAUGAGCUGUAAGGGUACCAACACAUUUGAACACUUCAGUCAUUUUACAGACGUUAAUGUAGAUACCUGAAUCUAUAUUCUUCCUAUCCAUAAUGCAGCAUGUUGAUGAUAUUGAUUUGUAUCACUUGAUGAUCAAAGAUGUAAGCAAAAAUCUAUUCAAAUAUUGUUUCACUAUCAAGUUAAUUAAAACCGAAAUCAAUUAAAAGAUUGUUUCACUAUUAAGUUAAUUAAAACCGAAAUCAAUUAAAAGAUUGUUUCACUAUUAAGUUAAUUAAAACCGAAAUCAAUUAAAAGAUUGUUUCACUAUUAAGUUAAUUAAAAC
rnacentral:lncRNA from 8 species